rnacentral:rRNA from 1 species
AUCGUAACUCCUACGGGAGGCAGCAGUGGGGAAUUUUGGACAGUGGGGGCAAUCCUGAUCCAGCAAUGCCGCGUGAGUGAAGAAGGCCUUCGGGUUGUAAAGCUCUUUUGUCAGGGAAGAAACGGUAGUAGCUAAUAUCUAUUACUAAUGACGGUACCUGAAGAAUAAGCACCGGCGAACUACGUGCCAGCAGCCGCGGUAAUACGUAGGGUGCAAGCGUUAAUCGGAAUUACUGGGCGUAAAGCGUGCGCAGGCGGUUGAGUAAGUCAGAUGUGAAAUCACCGGGCUCAACCUGGGAAUUGCAUUUGAGACUGCACGGCUAGAGUGUGUCAGGGGGGGGUAGAAUUCCACGUGUAGCAGUGAAAUGCGUAGAUAUGUGGAGGAAUACCGGUGGCGAAGGCAGCCCCCUGGGAUAACACUGACGCUCAUGCACGAAAGCGUGGGGAGCAAACAGGAUUAGAAACCCUGGUAGUCCUAGAGC